CUCUCACCUAGAAAUUCUCUCUUAGGAGCUGAUCAAAAUCAAACUAAGAAAUUUUUUACACAUGUGAGUCUUGGGGACUUCAGGGUCAUUCAAGGCAGAAUCAGGCCAUAAAUAGUAAUGCCAGAGAUGACAGGAUGUGUAGAGGGACAGGGGAAAAAUCUUACAGUGAAAGAAGAGUAGGGGAGUCUUGAAGUAUAAGUCCUUUGGGGGUCAGAGGACUUUAGAGAAGCUGAUGUUGUAAAAGAAAACAGACUUGUCACCUCUGGCAAAGCCUCAACAUAUGGGUAUGUAUCCGUCAGGGUUCAGCCAGAGAAGCAGAACAACUGGAAGAUAAUUAGAAUUAUCAGUGUCAACAGAGUAAAGAAAAGUGAUGGCCUCACCUGACCCUACACUGUCUCGUGACAUCAAGCUCUCACCAAAUGUGACCCACCCCUUGGAUCCCUGAUUCAUUCACCUGGCACCCUCCACUUUUAAAGUAUUCUAUCCUACCACUGCCAGACUCCACCUUAAGUCCCAAUCUGGUGUGAUUUCCACAUGACUGAACACCAUUCCAGAGAGCUCAUCUCUAGCUGGCACCCCUGGUUGGCCUCCUCUGUUCUAACAUUCCUAAGCAUGGACCACUCAUACCUGCAUGUUUCACAUUUCCCUGAGGGCUGGCAUCUCGUACCUCCUCCACCAGGUUUUUGAGCAAGAGCUUCUUUCACUUCAACCCCCUCUGGGGAGACUCUGUAAGCAGGCCUAUGGGAACAAACAGCAUCUUUGUCCUCACCCUUUACAUCCAAGUACAUCUGAAGAUAUCUGUUAUAAAGAGAGUGGAUUUCUAAACUUUGGAAAUUGGAAAUUUCCUUAGUCCAAUAAUCCUUUAGGGGCACUAUGGGUCAUCCUGGCUGUAUCCCCAUCUCUUCAGAUUGCCCACUAACCUAGAUCAAUGGGCCUACUAAAGCAGCUUUUGUU